CUCAGGACAAAAUUGGACAGGUUUGCAGCAGCCAAUCAGCUGUAACUUGGGGUGGGGGAUCUUUUCUCAGCUGGGAAAAAUGCACUAUACCAUACGAAGACAACAUUCAACCCAUUCGUAAAGAUAAGUUUUGGAGCGAGUGUACCACACCACGAAUUAGUAGAGCACGUAAUGAUGGGGAAGUCUGGUGUUGAGGGGUCCAUGUAGGUGUUGGAGAGUGGUGUUGAGGGGUCCAUAUAGGUGGUGUUGAGGGGUCCAUGUAGGUGUUGUAGCAAUGAUAGUGAGUAGAUGGAGGAGUGUGUUUUUAUGCUCUGUUCCAGCCACUCGGUAUCUUAAUGGGAAAGGUCUGGCUGAAGAACGUUACCCAAAUAUUAGGUAGUCUUCAUAAGUUGGGUUAUGUUAGCCAUUUACAAGUGCUGUAUUUAAAAACUAUGAUAUCUAUACUGAAUAGAAUUAUGAUUAUUAACACAUGAUAUUUUCCCUGUAACUUCUAUUUAAACCAGAGAGACAGAGAGAUAUUUAAUUCAGUACCAGAAUAAAGUAGUCACCAAAAUCAAUUGGAUAUACACUCAUCAAAGUUAAUAGUGUUGGCUGAAUUAUUAAUAAGUUAUGUCACCUUUAUUAACAUGAAUAACUUGUCCCUUUUAACAUAUUAAUUGUUUGAAUUUUUUUUAUUUUUUUUUAUUUUAACAUCUUGAAAAUGUGAUUGAAUUAACAUGAUGU